CAAAAAUGGCCUGAUGAUGGGGAAGCUGAAGUGAUAACCUUGAGGCAAUGCCCUGCAAGGAUGAGAGAUUCUCACAGAAACUAUGAAGGAGCUUCUUUCCAAACCUACACAGAAGAGUGGAUCAGGAGAGUAAAAUGCAUAGACUGUGGUAGACGUGGAUGUGCUGCUCAGAUCCCCUUUCAAGCAAGGACUCCCUGCUCAGCUGUGAAGAGUGUGUUCAGCUAAAAGCCUCCAGCUAGCUAACAUGCCGUGGGAGAGGGG